CACGUAGGGGGCGAGCGUUGUCCGGAAUCAUUGGGCGUAAAGAGCUCGUAGGCGGCUCAGUAAGUCGGGUGUGAAACCCCCAGGCUCAACCUGGGGACGCCACCCGAUACUGCUGUGGCUAGAGUCCGGAAGAGGCGAGUGGAACUCCUGGUGUAGCGGUGGAAUGCGCAGAUAUCAGGAAGAACACCAACGGCGAAGGCAGCUCACUGGCCCGGUACUGACGCUGAGGUGCGAAAGCGUGGGGAGCAAACAGG
rnacentral:rRNA from 1 species